rnacentral:rRNA from 1 species
UACGUAGGGACCAAGCGUUGUUCGGAUUUACUGGGCGUAAAGGGCGCGUAGGCGGCGUGGUAAGUCAGCUGUGAAAUCUCCGAGCUUAACUCGGAACGGUCAGCUGAUACUGCUGUGCUAGAGUACAGAAAGGGCAAUCGGAAUUCUUGGUGUAGCGGUGAGAUGCGUAGAUAUCAAGAGGAACACCUGAGGCGAAGGCGUGUUGCUAGGCUGAUACUGACGCUGAGUGCGCGAAAGCUAGGGUAGCAAACGGG